ACCCAGCCCAUUUUCCCUCCACAUCACUAAACUGACCCAGCCCACCCAGAAACGUCUCCUUUGAACAGAAUCGACGGGAAGCUAUGUGUGAGCGUCCAAAUGACCCUAAAUCGACCCUCACGCGCCUGACCCUCCUCACACGAGCGAGAGUUGAUAAUCAACAACGCCAUUGUUAGAAAGAAGUACACAGCGUCAAUUUACGUGUUGUCUCAGUUUAAUUUUACUAUCAGAUUUUACAGAAACAUGCCUUAUAUACAGGCUUUUUAUGUAUAAACCCACAUAUAUAUAUAAACAUACAGAAACAUUCCUUAUAUAUGGUGAGAUUGAGCGUUUAGACUUUUGAUCGAGUUUUCGAUUGGUGUUCUAUUCACACGAGUUCAUAUGAGCAUCGUUCAUGGUCGGAGAAGGUUGCUCGUCUUUGGUCUCAGUUCAUCUGCCUUGAAAAAGUCAAUUAACCCUUUGUUUGCUUUGGAGGUUGUAACAGAUUCGAAGUUCCAUCCGGAGUCUAAGAGGAACUUAAUCAAAUGCUUCGAUUUCCAUGUCUCAAGUAUGUCUCCUUCCCUAUUUUUUCCUUGAUAUCUAAAUCUCACAGCGUGGAUAGAUAUAGAUUCAAAUAAGUUGCUCUCGAGUUUCCUCACUUUGGCACUAGAAGAUGCGCAUUGAAAUCGAUUCUGAUUUUGUGGUCCUCUACUUUUGCUGGUGGAACUCUUUGAAAACUCAUAUCCAAGACUAGGUAGCUCUUUAUUUCUCACCAAUUUAACGCCUUGGUAGUGGCACAAAAUUGUAAUGUAGUUAUAAAAGCUGGCAAUACUAUCCACUUCUUGAUAAAUGUACUUGUCAUCCAUGCUAGCUACUUGUAUCUGUAAUCUUUCUUGUCUUGAUUCUCAAAUUUGUGAUUUGAGCUUUAUCCAUGUUUAGAUCCUUCUACACUUUAUUGGUAGUUGCACAAAUUGCUUGUAUUCCCGUAAAUGCAACUUACACUAUGUUCUAUUAGCAAUGGCAUCUGCUAAUUGAUUGCCUUCUCUAUAUACGUGUUGAACUUUGAAGUUGUUUUGUUCCACCAUUUGUGUUAUAUCGUCCAUUAUUUCUAGCAUCUCCCUAGGUAUUUUCCAUUCCCUAAGUAUCAUUUCUUGAUACCUAGUGAAUCUAUUUCAAUUAUGACUCUCCUGAGGUUGUUUUUUAUACAGAAAUUAAGCCCUUUCUCUUUAUCUAAACCAUUAAUAUUAAUGAAAUCUUUUACAUCCAAGAUUGAUCUUUCUAUUCCUCCAUCCUCAAUAAAGUAUAAAGCUCCUUCUUUUGUCCAGUUGUCAUUCCAAAAGCUACACUUUCCUGCUUUUAUUUUCCACCAAAUUUCAUGUUCCACCUCUUCCCUAACCUGAAUCAACUUUUUCCAAAUAUGUGAUGCUCCACUCCCUUUGGCCAUGUCUGGAUGAUCUUUUUUGCAAAAUUUGUUCCACGUAAAAGUUCCCCACAAUGAGUUGGUAGCCACUCUAAAAUUCCACCACAGAUUAACAAACAAAGCCUUAGCAACAUCAUGAAGAGAUCUAAAUCCUACUCCACCUUCCUUAUGUGGGUAACACAAGUCGUCCCAAGCCACCCAAUGUUUACCCUUCAACCCUCCUAUUUUCCCCAAAAAACUUUGCAAAUAUUUGAUGAAUCCUAUUUAUGAUACCUUUUGGAGGGUUCAUUGCUGACACUGGGUAAACAUACAUAGAUUGUAGUACGUGAGCAAUAAGUAUUUGUUUUCCCCCA